CCGCCGGCGACCGGCGCACGGGUGAGUAACACGUAUGCAACCUGGCCGUGACAGAUGGAUAACCGGGAGAAAUCCCGCCUAAUACAACAUAAUGCCGGGAGGGGACAUCCCCUGCCGGCCAAAGGGGACGACCCCGGUCACGGAUGGGCAUGCGGCGCAUUAGGUAGUUGGUGGGGCAACGGCCCACCAAGCCGACGAUGCGUAGGGGUUCUGAGAGGAAGGUCCCCCACAUUGGAACUGAGACACGGUCCAAACUCCUACGGGAGGCAGCAG
rnacentral:rRNA from 1 species